CCUACGGGAGGCAGCAGUGAGGAAUAUUGGUCAAUGGACGAGAGUCUGAACCAGCCAAGUAGCGUGAAGGAUGACUGCCCUAUGGGUUGUAAACUUCUUUUAUAUGGGAAUAAAAUGUUCCACGUGUGGGAUUUUGUAUGUACCAUAUGAAUAAGGAUCGGCUAACUCCGUGCCAGCAGCCGCGGUAAUACGGAGGAUGCGAGCGUUAUCCGGAUUUAUUGGGUUUAAAGGGUGCGUAGGCGGAAUAUCAAGUCAGCGGUGAAAAUUCGGGGCUCAACCCCGUCGUGCCGUUGAAACUGAUGUUU
rnacentral:rRNA from 1 species